rnacentral:tRNA from 1 species
GGCCGCCUGGCGAAAUGGCAUCGCGUCUGACUACGAAUCGUUAUCAGGAGAUUGCAGGUUCGACCCCUGCGGUGGUCA